AUGCCGUGUUCCCUAAUUUUUUUUUUUCUGUGUAUUUCAACACAGGUGUACAAAAAUGUGCUAACUUUACUACUUUGUCAUACACUGGCAACUUCUGUAACAUUUAGGGACUAGAUGUUGCAAAAUUUGGACUUGUCUGUUAUAUACACUAUAUGCACAGCAAAACAAAACCCACAAAACAUACAGAAAAAUUAUGUCUCAAAAUGUCCAAGUACAAGUGCACUAACAUAAUACCUUUGCAAUUGCUUCCCUCCUACCUCCUCCAAACCACUGAACAAGUACAGACAGUACCAUACUGCUCAAGAGGUGGUUUAACCAUUCCAUUUCCAUCAACAUUUCUUAUGAACUUUAGCAAGAUAUUUACAAAGUGAUAUUUUACUACCUCUACAUUUAACAUACUUUGGGCACUUCUAAACAUCUAGAAAAGACUAGAUGAUUCAAGUAGGGACUCAAUUUGUCCAUUAUAUAUACACAGCAGUCGAUUAAACUGCAUAUAUGUAACAAUAGUUGAAAGUGUCUUGGAAAUAUGAGCAUUUUAGUCUAGAACCCUUCCAAAAUGCUCAAAUUUUCAGAAGACAAACUUUCCUGGAAUUUUAAUACAAAAUGUACAAAAUUUGUUAGUUUACUAACUCCACCUUUGUCAAAACUGGCAACCUCUUUAACAUCUAGCAAGACUAGAUGUUGUAUAAGGUCUCAUUUAUCUUUUACAUACCCUACAUACACAGCAAAGUAAAAAUGCACAGACAUAAGGGGCAAUAGUAACUUGCCUUGCUAUAAGUGCACUAGCACAGCGCUCUAUUUCCUUCUCUUCCGAGAACCAGUGCAUAAACAAUGUGUACUACUCAAGAGGGGGUUUGCCUACUCCCCCACAAAAUAACACUUCAUGUGAGUUCUAACAAAAAGAAAUUUACAAAAUGUGUUAUUUUACUACUACUACUUUUUAACAUGUAUCAGGCACUUGAGAAUUAUCUCAAAAGACCAGAUGGUUCAAUAAAGUACUUAGCAUUGUCAGUUAUAUACAUACUAAUGAGGACUAAAAUGCACACACAAAACAAUGGUUACAAUACAAACAACGUCUUCUACAUGUAACCAGUCUGGUACUGGACAUUCUUCUGUCUUCUCCAAGUCCUCUAACAGAACAAAUGCAGACAAGAAUCACCCCUAGUGUCGCUUCUCCAGGUGGUCUACCCAUAUUCAUUUCAAAGUCACUCUCAGAAAACGUUUCUUUUCUGUCAUUUUUUUAAAAUAAAUGGGCGUUUCCAAGACGUGUGGGUUUUCUAACUUCUUUAUCCCAGGUCGGCACCUUCUUUACUUCUAUAUUGUCCACAUGCAGCAAGUUUUCUUUUAAAAGGUUGGGGGAAUGUUGAGAGCAGCUUUUUCAUAUUAUAUACACAGGCCUUCUGAAAAUGGCCAGUAAAUCUUCCCAAAAGGUAGUGGGCAUUUCCAAUUAGCCAAAGGUGGAAUGUUACUUUAAGUUUCUCUCUUUGGCAACUGCCCAUGGCCCGCCAUUCUUUCCACCUGUCCUCGGCCUGAGCUCCCUCACCUUCUAGGGCGGGUAAGGCCUUUAUUCGUCCUCGUCGCAAGGAGCUGCGGUCUCCUCCACAAAUGGAACACAGCCGUCACCUCAGGACCCGGAUCUGCGCAGUUCUAGGGCCAGAAGUGGCUGAGCUUUCGGACCCGCCUUCUCCGGCCCUUGAUGUAACCACAUUCUGCUGCGGUCCAGAGGCCGCCAUUCUUCUCACCACGCCUCGCUCCAGCCGCUGCAAGGCGCCACGUCCUCGACUGCUGGAGGGGGCUUUGCCAAGGCCAGCAAGGCUGGACCGGGAGACCCUUCCGUCUGAGGGGUUCUGGCUCCGAGGCCACCGCCGUGGCCGUCAGGUCAUCGAAGUGGAGUGGGGGAGCAGUUCGCCUGUUCUUCAAAGCCUGGGCCCAGCCAGUGGGCAAUCACAGCGAGGGAUCGAAGAGGCUGCAGGGCAGAGGCACGGCCCAUCCUCGGGCCCCC
rnacentral:lncRNA from 1 species